UCAAAGUUCUGAAUCUUCCUUCUCUCAGACCUAAUCAACCGCCGCUUAAUUUUAUUUAUCUCCUCCGCAAAUUCCAUGGAAAACCGUCACCCCGCCGCGGCAAAGCGAAACCUAAAGCGCAAGCUCGAACGGGAAGAUCAAACGUGUUCUAAGGCCCGGCACUUCGCUUCUCAACAACGCCACCCGAAUAUUUCUGUGACGAUUCGUGAACACGUUUCUCUCCUCAGUUGCGUUCCCUUACCCUCUCCCUCUGCGUUUGAUUGUGCAUUGAUUAAAGAUUCUGUCACCAUUCUCUCUGAACUCGCUGAGAACGAGCGUCUGGUGAAAACGAUAGUGAAUUGUGGCGCCGUUCCUGCUCUGGUCCGGCAUCUUCAAGUGCCGGAUGCAUGGAAAGAUGAAGGAGACAAUGUGUGCUACCAUUUUGAGGUGGCGAAACAAUGUGCGCUCGUGCUCGAGCUUCUUGCAACUGAGACAGAAUAUCAGCAACAUAUUAUAGAAGCUGGAGCCUUGCCAUGUCUUGUAGAUUUGUUAAGGAGGCACAAGAUCAGUGCCAUUUGUCAACCACUUAUUGAUCUUCUAAGGAGAGUAGCAGGUGCAAUAACCAGCCUUGCACAUGAAAAUAAUGGCAUCAAGGCCCUUGUCAGGAUGGAAGGAGGAAUACCUCCUCUUGUUGAAUUGCUUGAAUUCAAUGACAUAAAGGUACAGAGAGCAGCUGCACGGGCCUUGCGAACUAUUGCUUUUAAUAAUGAUGGCAAUAAAAAUCAGAUUGUUCAAUGCAAUGCAUUACCCACUCUUGUACUAAUGCUUCAAUCAGAGGAUCUUAAAAUACGUUCUGAGGCGGUUGGUGUCAUUGGAAAUCUUGUCCACUCUUCACCAAGUAUUAAGAAAGAAGUUCUUCUUGCUGGUGCUUUGCAACCUGUUAUUUGUUCACUUAGUUCCUCUUGUCCGGAUAGCCAAAGAGAAGCAGCCCUUUUACUUGGACAGUUUGCCACAGCAGAUUCAGAUUGCAAGGUCCAUAUUGCCCAAAGAGGUGCUAUUCCACCAUUAGUUAGCAUGCUUAAGUCUCCAGAUGCUGAGCUUCGGGAAAUGUCAUCUUUUGCACUUGGGAGGUUGGCACAGGACUCGCAUAAUCAAGCUGGUAUUGCUCAUAAUGGAGGUAUAGAGCCCCUGCUCAAACUUCUUGGUUCAAGUAAUGUGCCCCUCCAACAUAAUGCUGCUUUUGCUCUAUAUGGUCUUGCUGAUAACGAGGACAUCGUUGUAGAUAUUAUCAAGGCUGGUGCUCUUCAAAAACUGAAGACUGGAUUAUUCAAAGCUCAACAAACUAAAGAGUGUGUGGCGAAGACGUUAAUCAGAUUACAGGAGAAGACGUAUGGGCGAGUAUUGAAACACCUGAUACAUCUUAUGCGCUUUGCGGAAGAAGCUGUUCAAAGACUUGUAGCUAUUGCCCUUGCUUAUUUAUGUUCUCCUCAUGACCUUAAAACUAUAUUCAUUGACAAUAAUGGUUUGACAUUGCUACUGGAUAUUCUUAAAUCCUCAAACGUAGAGCAGAAGGCUGAAGCUUCGGUGGCUCUCCACAAAUUGGCUGACAAAGCCAGUUCUUCUGUUUCUCAUUUUGACGCUGCUCCUCCACCAACUCCCCAGAUGUACUUGGGCGAGGAAUUUGUAAACAAUCCUAAACUUUCUGAUGUCACAUUCCUGGUUGAAGGCAAAAGUUUUUAUGCUCAUAGAGGCUGUUUGCUUUCUUCAGAUAUAUUUCGUGCAAUGUUUGAUGGCGGAUAUAGGGAAACGAAAGAGAGACAUAUAGUUAUUCCGAAUAUUAAAUGGGAUGUCUUUGAAUCGAUGAUGAGAAUAUAUUUUUCUCUCUUCUUGCAAAGGCCCUCGCUGCCACCUCUGGCUGUCACGGCGGCUGCUGCCUCCGAUUGCUGUGCUGUCAACCGCUACCUUUGGUCAUCAACUGUUGACUGCUGCGCCGGUGGUCGCUGCCUCGCCACUUUUGAUAGCUGCCUCCGGUGGUCGCCCACUUCGACCGCCGCUUCUGGUCGCCUACUUCGAUCGCUGCUUUUGAUAGCUGCCUUCGGUCACUGCCUCCAACCGCCACUUUCAGUUGCCGACUUCGAUUGCCGCUUCAGGUGGCCGUUGACUCCAAUUGGGACCGCCGCUUCCGGUCGUCGACUCCGACUGUCGCUUUCGAUAGCCGCCUUCGACUCUAAUUGCCACUUCUGGUCCCCCACUCCGACAGCCGCCUCCGGUUGCCGCUUCCGAUUGCUGCCUCCAAUCACCUCCAGUGACCAGUUAGCAGAUGUGUUCACAAAAUUGCUUAAAGGGCCUCGGGUUGAUUACAUUUGUAACAAGCUUGGUGCAUAUGAUAUAUAUGCUCCAGCUUGAGGGGAAGUGUUACAGAUAUUAUGAAUAUAUUACAAAUAUUGUGGAUACAUAUAUUAUUGUUAUUAUCCACUAUCAAUUAGGGAUAUGAUUAGAUUAGUUUUUAUAAUAUUAGAAAUUAGUAUCUCUAUCAUUUAUUGUAUUUACUUUAUAAAUAAGAUUGAUAUGUGUACAACAAUAUACACAAUUCCUGAAUCACAACACCGUCUAUAAAGUGAUAUUCUUUUGAUACUUGCAGGUUUUUAUACACAGGAACAGUUGAUGUCAAUUUGGAUAUUGCUCAGGACCUCCUCAAAGCUGCAGAUCAGUAUCUACUGGACGGUCUUAAGCGUAUUUGUGAAUAUGCUAUUGCUCAGGAACUUUCUGAGGAAAAUGUUUCAGCACUG